rnacentral:rRNA from 1 species
AGUUUCGGAUCGUUUUGCGUAGGAUAGGUGGAGGCGUUGAAGCCGGGUUUCUGGAUUCGGCAGAGCCAACCUUGAAAUACCACCCUGAACGAUCUGGGAUUCUAACCUGGGCCCCUGAACGGGGUUGGGGACACUGUCUGGCGGGCAGUUUGACUGGGGCGGUCGCCUCCCAAAACGUAACGGAGGCGCACGAAGGUCACCUCAGGCUGAUUGGAAACCAGCCGUAGAGUGUAAAAGGCAGAAGGUGGCUUGACUGUGAGAUCGACAGAUCGAACAGGUGCGAAAGCAGGUCUUAGUGAUCCGGUGGUCCCCGUAUGGAAGGGCCAUCGCUCAUCGGAUAAAAGGUACUCUGGGGAUAACAGGCUGAUCACGCCUGAGAGUCCACAUCGGCGGCGUGGUUUUGGCACCUCGAUGUCGGCCCAUCGCAUCCUGGGGCUGGAGCAGGUCCCAAGGGUUCGGCUGUUCGCCGAUUAAAGCGGUACGCGAGCUGGGUUCAGAACGUCGUGAGACAGUUCGGUCCCUAUCUGCCGUGGGCGC